AUUGAACGCUGGCGGCAUGCCUUACACAUGCAAGUCGAACGAGACCUUCGGGUCUAGUGGCGCACGGGUGCGUAACGCGUGGGAAUCUGCCCUUGGGUUCGGAAUAACAGUUAGAAAUGACUGCUAAUACCGGAUGAUGACUUCGGUCCAAAGAUUUAUCGCCCAAGGAUGAGCCCGCGUAGGAUUAGCUAGUUGGUAGGGUAAAGGCUUACCAAGGCGACGAUCCUUAGCUGGUCUGAGAGGAUGAUCAGCCACACUGGGACUGAGACACGGCCCAGACUCCUACGGGAGGCAGCAGUGGGGAAUAUUGGACAAUGGGCGAAAGCCUGAUCCAGCAAUGCCGCGUGAGUGAUGAAGGCCCUAGGGUUGUAAAGCUCUUUUACCCGGGAUGAUAAUGACAGUACCGGGAGAAUAAGCCCCGGCUAACUCCGUGCCAGCAGCCGCCGUAACAC
rnacentral:rRNA from 1 species